AUUGAACGCUGGCGGCAGGCCUAACACAUGCAAGUCGAACGGAGUGGCGGACGGGUGAGUAAUGUCUGGGAAACUGCCUGAUGGAGGGGGAUAACGUCCGGAAACGGGCGCUAAUACCGCAUACUAUCAGAUGAGCCUAGGUCGGAUUAGCUAGGUGUGGGGUUAAAGGCCUACAAAGGCGACGAUCCGUAACUGGUCUGCGAGGAUGAUCAGUCACACUGGAACGGAGACACGGUCCAGACUCCUACGGGAGGCAGCAGUGGGGAAUAUUGGACAAUGGGCGAAAGCCUGAUCCAGCCAUGCCGCGGGUGUGAAGAAGGUCUUCGGAUUGUAAAGCACUUUAAGUUGGGAGGCGUUACCAACAGAAUAAGCACCGGCUAACUUCGUGCCAGCCGCCGCGGUAAUUC
rnacentral:rRNA from 1 species